AUGACUUUGAUCUCCGUCCUCAUCUGGACUCUCCUCUGCUGCUGCUUCACAGAGUCCAGAGGCCAGGUCACAGUGACUCAGCCUGCAGCAGUGAGAUCUGCUCUGGGAGGCUCCACAACCAUCAGCUGUAGGGUCAGUCGUCAGGUUGCAGGCUGUAGCAGUGCUUACUGUUUACAGUGGUACCAACAAAAAGAUGGAGAAACUCCUAAACUCCUCAUUCGCUACACUAAUGAGCGAAUGUCAGGGACGCCAGAUCGUUUUUCAGGCAGUGGAUCAAACUCUGACUUCACUCUGACCAUCAGUGGAGUUCAGGCUGAAGAUGCAGCAGUUUAUUACUGUCAGAGUUAUCACAGUGGAUAUGUGUUCACACAGUGA